AAUUAUUGUAGACGUCGGAAAAGCCCUGGAGUAUUUGAUGUACACGAUUUUCAAACUUCAAAUGGGAAAGGUAAUAUCGUCGUUAUUCGUUGUAUCUCAUCUCGUUCGAACAGUUUGCAUUUAUUUCAUUUAUUCACCGAAUUUCGGGUGUAAGUAUACAUAAUAGAAAUUGUAAUAAAAUGUAUUGUUUUUUUAUUUUGUUAAUAAAAUUUAAAUUUUGACCUGUAUUUAAUAAUUAUUUUUUACAAAAAAAAAAAUUUAAUAAUUGAAACCUAAAACUAAGCUCUGCUCAAAAUCUUCCUCCCCCACUCUCCGAUAUAAUACGAUCGGUAUUUUUUAAAUAUUCUCGGCCAGUUAUAUGUUGUGACCAUAAUUUUGUAAUUUACGAAUAAUACAAUUUUUCAACAUUUUGUUGUCAAUGUAUUAUUAUAAUAUGUGUAACAGUACACAUUGAGUCAUUUAUCGGGUGAAUUAAUUAGCUUUAACGAAGCAAAAUCACAUAAAAACAAAAAAAUAACGAUUUAUUUUAUUUCAUAAUAAAACUAUAAAUCAAAUUUAUUUUUAGAAAUGAUCAGGAUUAUUGGGAACCCGCUGUCUAACAAAUUGUACGUAUUUUGGAAAACAAAAGUUCAGAAUCGAGAAGUGUUUGUUUGAAUUACAAAUUGUGUGGAAGAAUUGAAACGUGGUAUAGGGACACGUUUACAAUUCCAAAACUUAAAUCAGGUUUGAUAAAAAAAUAAUACCGAAGUUUCUGUUUAUUUACCUAUAUUGUAUUAUUAAAUGUGUAUUUUUAGGCGUCGAGAGUAAUCGAAGAGACGACUAAAAAAGAAUACGCGAGGAAAAGGUGGAUACCAAAUUUGUGUAUUUAAAUUAUUCUACCUAAAUUAUCUUUAAAAAUCACGAUAUUAUUAUUAAUUUUUUGUUCUUUUUUGUGUGUGUGUGUAUUUUUUCGUACUAAUUUUCUUAUAUAUUAUUAUUGUCCGUUAAAAAUUAUCGAAAACUUUUGAUUGUUGAAAAAAACAAUGUUCGAAUUCCUUCCGAAAGGAAAAACUAUAUUCAUCGUGUUCGGGAGCUAACAAUAGCCAGUGUAUAAGUAAUUAUUUAAAAUCGUUGUACAUUAUUUCAGCAUUCCGUUUCACCUUUAACAAUCGCUACAACGAAAAACUAUUUAGAAACCGAUGGUAUGUAAAAUGACG